UUCAGGGGUCUGUGUCCCUGGCAAAGGAAUGUGGACAAAUGGAUGACCAGAACUGCACUCUGAAAAUAAUCUGCUCAUGGAAACUGUCCUGGAAUAUUGGACUGGACCAGCUCUGUGAUGGUCAUGCCCAUUUUGAGACUCUCAUGUUAAUGCCACAAGAACUUCAGUCUACUGUAUAAUAUUUCAGACAUGGAGAGGGAAAAAAAGAAGAAAUAAAGAAAAAGAAAAACCAGCCGUCUGCAUCCACUUAAACUACAUUACAAUAAAGCUCAGUAAAGAUCUGAUCAGCAGUUUUUUAACCUGCUCUGAUUUAAUAUGAAAUAAAUUAGUGGAAAACCUAAA